rnacentral:rRNA from 1 species
GACGAACGCUGGCGGCGUGCCUAAUACGUGCAAGUAGAACGCUGAAGGAGGAGCUUGCUCUUCUGGAUGAGUUGCGAACGGGUGAGUAACGCGUAGGUAACCUGCCUGGUAGCGGGGGAUAACUAUUGGAAACGAUAGCUAAUACCGCAUAAGAGUAGAUGUCGCAUGACAUUUGCUUAAAAGGUGCAAUUGCAUCACUACCAGAUGGACCUGCGUUGUAUUAGCUAGUUGGUGAGGUAACGGCUCACCAAGGCAACGAUACAUAGCCGACCUGAGAGGGUGAUCGGCCACACUGGGACUGAGACACGGCCCAGACUCCUACGGGAGGCAGCAGUAGGGAAUCUUCGGCAAUGGACGGAAGUCUGACCGAGCAACGCCGCGUGAGUGAAGAAGGUUUUCGGAUCGUAAAGCUCUGUUGUAAGAGAAGAACGAGUGUGAGAGUGGAAAAGUUCACACUGUGACGGUAUCUAC